UACGUAGGGUGCAAGCGUUGUCCGGAAUUAUGGGGCGUAAAGAGCUCGUAGGCGGUUUGUCGCGUCGAAUGUGAAAUCCCGGGGCUCAACCCCGGGUCUGCAUUCGAUACGGGCAGACUAGAGUUCGGUAGGGGAGUCUGGAAUUCCUGGUGUAGCGGUGAAAUGCGCAGAUAUCAGGAGGAACACCGGUGGCGAAGGCGGGACUCUGGGCCGAUACUGACGCUGAGGAGCGAAAGCGUGGGGAGCAAACAGG
rnacentral:rRNA from 1 species